rnacentral:rRNA from 1 species
CCUACGGGAGGCAGCAGUAGGGAAUAUUGGUCAAUGGGUGAGAGCCUGAACCAGCCAUGCCGCGUGCAGGAAGAAGGCCUUCUGGGUUGUAAACUGCUUUUGCCAGGGGAUAAAAAUACCUUGCGAGGUAGAUUGAAGGUACCUGGUGAAUAAGCCACGGCUAACUACGUGCCAGCAGCCGCGGUAAUACGUAGGUGGCAAGCGUUGUCCGGAUUUAUUGGGUUUAAAGGGUGCGUAGGCGGCCCUGUAAGUCAGUGCUGAAAUAUCCCGGCUUAACCGGGAGGGUGGCAUUGAUACUGCGGGGCUAGAGUACAGAUGAGGUAGGCGGAAUUGACGGUGUAGCGGUGAAAUGCUUAGAUAUCGUCAAGAACACCUAUAGCGAAGGCAGCUUACUAGGCUGUAACUGACGCUGAGGCACGAAAGUGUGGGGAUCAAACAAGAUUAGAUACCCUGGUAGUCCACACUGUAAACGUUGAUUACUCGCUGUGUGCGAUAUACAGUACGCGGCCAAGCGAAAGCGCUAAGUAAUCCACCUGGGGAGUACGCCGGCAACGGUGAAACUCAAAGGAAUUGACGG